UUGGGAAUGGUCGGGA
rnacentral:tRNA from 1 species